rnacentral:rRNA from 1 species
AUACGUAGGAUCCGAGCGUUGUCCGGAUUUACUGGGCGUAAAGAGUGCGUAGGUGGUAUGGUAAGUCUCAUGUGAAAUCUCCCGGCUUAACUGGGAGGGGCCAUGGGAAACUAUCAAACUUGAGGGCAGUAGAGGAGAGCAGAAUUCCGGGAGUAGUGGUGAUAUGCGUAGAUACCAGGAGGAAUACCCGUGGCGAAGGCGGCUCUCUGGACUGUCCCUGACACUCAGGCACGAAAGCGUGGGGAGCAAACCGGAUUAGAUACCCGGGUAGUCC